rnacentral:rRNA from 1 species
GACAGAGGGGGCAAGCGUUGUUCGGAAUUAUUGGGCGUAAAGCGCGUGUAGGCGGCUUUGCAAGUCGGGUGUGAAAGCCCUCAGCUUAACUGAGGAAGUGCGCCCGAAACUGCUUGGCUUGAGUACCGGAGAGGAUGGCGGAAUUCCCCAAGUAGAGGUGAAAUUCGUAGAUAUGGGGAGGAACACCGGUGGCGAAGGCGGCCAUCUGGACGGAUACUGACGCUGAGACGCGAAAGCGUGGGUAGCAAACAGG